GGCAAUCUGAAAGCAAAUCCUGUUUAGAUGCAGGCGAAGGUUCCUGGUGACCCAGGCUCUCACCUUACCGUCCCUUACCGUCCUCCUGAGGGUGUCCUGGAGCUUCAGUGCUGUGUGUUCUUGGCCUCCACGCUGGGGGUGCCACCAACUCCCACUGUCCAGGGCUUCCAGUGGACUCUCCGAGGUACUGAUGUAGAAACUUCCCCAUUCGGUGCACCAAGAGCAACCUCACACGGUGUGGGCCGAAUGAAGAGCUGCCAGAUCCCACAGAUGGAGUUAUUUCUCUUUUCCUUGGGCUCAAAUGCAACGGCGCCAUCUCAGCUCACUGCAACCUCCACCUCCUGAGUUCAAGUGAUUCUCCUGCCUCAGCCUCCUGAAUAGCUGGGAUUACAGGCGCCUGCCACCGCACCUGGCUAAUGUUUGUAUUUUUGGUAGAGACAGGGUUUCUUCAUGUUGGCCAGGUUGGUCUCUAACUCUUGACCUCAAGUGAUCCACCUGCCUUGGCCUCUCAAAGUGCUAGGAUUACAGACACGAGCCACGGCCUGACCUGAACUGUGGGGAAAAGAAAGAGAGAUCAGAUUGUUACUGUGUCUGUGUAGGAAGAAGUAGACAUAAGAGACUCCAUUUUGUUCUGUACUAAGAAAAAUUGUUUUGCCUUGAGACGCUGUUAAUCUGUAACCCUACCCCCAACCCUGUGCUCCCUAAGACAUGGGCUGUGUCAACUCAGGGUUAAAUGGAUUAAGGGCUGUUCAGGGUGUGCUUUGUUAAACAAAUGCUUGAAGGCAGCAUGCUUGUUAAGAGUCAUCACCACUCCCUAAUCUCAAGUACCCAGAGGCACACUACACUGCGGAAGACUGCAGGGUCCUCUGCCUAGGAAAGCCAGGUAUUGUCCAAGGUUUCUCCCCAUGUGAUAGUCUGAAAUACAGCCUCGUGGGAAGGGAAAGACCUGACUGUCCCCCAGCCCGACACCCGUAAAGGGUCUGUGCUGAGGAGGAUUAGUAAAAGAGGAAGGAAGGCCUCUUUGCAGUUGAGAUAAGAGGAAGGCAUCUGUCUCCGGCUCGUCCCUGGGCAAUGGAAUGUCUCGGUGUAAAGCCCGAUUGUAUAUUCCAUCUACUGAGAUAGGAGAAAACCGCCUUAGGACUGGAGGUGGGACAUGCUGGCAGCAAUACUGCUCUUUAAGGCAUUGAGAUGUUUCUGUAUAUGCACAUCAAAAGCACAGCACUUUUUUCUUUACCUUGUUUAUGAUGCAGAGACAUUUGUUCACGUGUUUACCUGCUGAUCUUCUCUCCACUAUUAUCCUAUUGUCCUGCCACAUCCCCCUCUCCGGAAAUGCCCGAUAAUGAUCAAUAAAUACUAAGGGAACUCAGAGGCCAGUGCCGGCAUGGGUCCUCCGUAUGCUGAACGCCGGUCCCCUGGGCCCAUUUUUCUUCCUCUGUACUUUGUCUCUGUGUCUCUUUCUUUUCCAAGUCUCUCCUUCCACCUAAUGAGAAACGCCCACAGGUGUGGAGGGGCAACCCAUCCCUUCACUGAACCAUUUUUAUUCUUCCAGAAAUGUGAUUGAUAACAGUAAAGCCACACUCCUCAAGUGCCUGAAAUACCCCUCAUUGUCUUCUUCAGGUGGCAAGGGCUCUGGAACAGCCACAUAAAGGUGAGGGCAAUAUUUUUACUGUAGUUCUUUCAUUGAUUGGUUGAUUGAUUUUUUUCUCUUAGAGGGUUAGCAUACAUUUAUCUGAAAUUGAAAUUCAAGAGGAGAGACAGGCACCUGUACUAGUUUUCUCUUGCUGCCUAUUAUCACAUUACCACAAACCAGUGGUUUGAAACCACAGAAGUCUGGAAUGAAGUGGCCGGGUUCUCUGAUCAGAGUCAUGUGAGGCUAAAAUCCGGGAAUGGGCUGGCUGUGUUUUUUUCCUAGAGCUCAAGCUAUUUUUCCAGGUUCACUACAGAUAAUGAAAGAGUUCCUAUUCUUGUUUGUGGGGGACUGAGGGCCCUUUUUCUGUGCUGGCUGUCAGCGGGGAGACAGUCUACUCUGACUCCAGAGGCCACAUGCUUUCCUCCUUACCUGUCUGUUUCAUCUUUCAACCAAUAACAACUCAUGGAGUCCUUCUCAAGCUCCCACCUUCUCUGACUUCAUCUUCUCCAACCAGCCACACAAAGCUCUGUCAUGUAUGGAGUGAUGUGAUUAGAUCCAGUUCAUGCGGUAACCUCACCAUCUUAAAGUCAUAUAACUGGCAUAUAACAACAUAGUCACAGGAAUGGUGUCUCAUCACCUUAAGAGGCUUUAGAGACAAGGGUGUGGCAUGUUUGGGGACCAUUUCAGAAAUUCCAUCUACCACAGUAGGACACUCACAUUCCCCCAUCUGCAAAGUGCAUUUACCCUCUCCCCUGAGGUUUCCAGAUUUCAUGUCAUUAAAGCAUUAGUUCAACAUGAAAAAUGUCAUGUAGACCACAUCAGAUCAAAAGUUUAAAAUCCCAUCUAAAACAUCCACACCAGGUGUGAAUGAGGCUUCCGAGAGUGUCCAUUAAGUGCAGAUCCUUGACAUAAUUCCCUUACCUCUGUCGACCUGUGAAACUGAACAAACAGCUUAUCUGCCCCUAAUGUGAAAUGAUGGGACAGACAUAGAAUAACCACUACAGUGAUUCUAGUUCAAAAUGAGGGAACAUGGAGGGGAUAAAGAAGUCAAUAACCCAAAAUAGUUUGGAAAUGGAGCUGGGCAAAAUCCAGCAGGAGUUUCUUAGUUAGGAUCCACAGCCUGGGACUGACCCUCUGUCCUGUGGGUCUUUGCCUCUGGGCUCUCUGCUCUGCAUUUCUUGAAACCAUUAUUAUUUAUCAUUUUUCUCACACUCUUUUGCGUAUGGCUCCUAUUGCACUCAAAAUGUUUUUGAGAUUCAUCCAUCUUGUUUUGUGUGUCAAAAGUUUGUUCCUUUAGCCGUUCCAUGGAAUGAAUGUAUCACAGUUUAUUGAUCCAUUCUUGUAUUGAUAGAUAUUUGAAUGUUUCCA
rnacentral:lncRNA from 1 species